UCCUUCCAGAACCUCUGCACCUGUAGUCUCCUUUGCCUCCUUCUGAUAACAUAUUCUUUCCCCAGGUCCGCCCACAUCCAACUUACCAUGCAGGCCUGAGGAGAAGGCCUUCUGUGACAAGCCGUCUCUAACCUCGCCUGGUGGCUGCCAUCUCAUUACUGCAUAGUUUCCAGUGUAGUAGGUUCCGCCUGAAGUCAUCUUGUUUGUCUACUUCAGAGUUGCCAACUGAAUGUGCCUGCGCUAGACUGUUGGCUGAUGUGAGAGACACAUGGACUCACCAUUGCCCCAGAUGACAGCCAGCCAGCUUCCAAAGCAGAGCUCCCUGGUGACUUGGCAGCUGAUCUUAGACGCAUGAGCGUGCCCAGCCAGGACCAGCAGAAGAAUUGCCCAGCUGGUCCCAGUCUAAAUUGCUACCUCUUGAAUUGUGAGUUACAAAUAAACGGUAGUUGUAUUAA